rnacentral:ncRNA from 2 species
CUUGAUCUUCGGGGCAAGGUGUAAUUCCUGACCGGCGGUAUAGCCCGCGAGUCCUAAAGGGAGUUUUUAAGGACAGAUCUGGUGAGAUUCCGGAGCCGAUGGCGAUAGUCCAGAUGAAAGAAGAUUGAU